AGGAUGAACGCUGGCGGCGUGCCUAACACAUGCAAGUGGAGCGACGAACCCGGACUUGUCCGGGGGCAAAGCCGCGAACGGGUGAGUAACACGUGGAUUAUCUGCCCCAAUGACCGGGACAACUCGAGGAAACUCGAGCUAAGUACCGGAUGUGCUCUUCGGGAGGAAAGGAGCUUCGGCCUCCGCAGUUGGGAUGACGUCCGCGGCGCAUUAGCUAGGUUGGGUAGGGGUAAACGCCUACCAAGGCGACGAUGCGUAGCUGGUCUGACGAGGACGAUCAGCCACACGUAGGACUGAGACACGGUCCGAAG
rnacentral:rRNA from 1 species